rnacentral:tRNA from 1 species
GGCGAGGUAGCUCAGUUGGUAAGAGCGCAGGAUUCAUAACCCUGAGGUCAUGGGUUCAACUCCCAUCCUCGCUACCG